AGCCCCACCACCAAAGCAUUCUCUGGUGUUGAAGGCCCUGCAAAGCAGCAUCGCGGUGGCGGAGCGUCGUUUGCGACGCCCAACACACAAAACAAGCGGUGAGUGCUUUGGGGUGGGGUGACUGCGUACCUUUUGUAUAAUGGGUCAGCGACUUAUAUUCUGUAGCAAGGUUAACCGAAUAGGGGAGCCGGAGGGAAACCGAGUCUUAAUUGGGCGUUAAGUUGCAGGGUAUAGACCCGAAACCCGGUGAUCUAGCCAUGGGCAGGUUGAAGGUUGGGUAACACUAACUGGAGGACCGAACCGACUAAUGUUGAAAAAUUAGCGGAUGACCUGUGGCUGGGGGUGAAAGGCCAAUCAAACCGGGAGAUAGCUGGUUCUCCCCGAAAGCUAUUUAGGUAGCGCCUCGUGAAUUCAUCUCCGGGGGUAGAGCACUGUUUCGGCUAGGGGGCCAUCCCGGCUUACCAACCCGAUGCAAACUGCGAAUACCGGAGAAUGUUAUCACGGGAGACACACGGCGGGUGCUAACGUCCGUCGUGAAGAGGGAAACAACCCAGACCGCCAGCUAAGGUCCCAAAGUCAUGGUUAAGUGGGAAACGAUGUGGGAAGGCCCAGACAGCCAGGAUGUUGGCUUAGAAGCAGCCAUCAUUUAAAGAAAGCGUAAUAGCUCACUGGUCGAGUCGGCCUGCGCGGAAGAUGUAACGGGGCUAAACCAU
rnacentral:rRNA from 2 species